CCAAUUGAAGUUGUUGCAUUGCUACACAUCAUUGCAUGAACUUUGUCAAAUAUUAGUGUUGCGGAAACUUCAAAGCUGUAUUUUUAACGUUUAGCAAAAAUUUGUGGUCACGCACUGAUAUUCGGCAGAAGAGUGCUAUAUGGUUACUAUCUAGUAACAAUUAAAGACAUUAAACGGCUGAAAAUAUUGCUUGGGUAACAGUACGAACACACCAAUCCAGUAUCUAAACAAGCUGAUUUUGCAAAGCGCCUCUUCAGGCCACUUGUAUGUACAGUUUCCAGUUAUACGGCAACUAUCAUAUGGGAAAGAAAAAAGCUUUCAAGAUGCCUACUAAAAUGGAAUUUGAAAAAGUUGUCUAUCAAUAGAAUGCGGAUAUCUCCCUGAUACAGCCAGCUCUGCUCCUUUGAUCAAUUUAUCUUCUGUUCGUAAUAACUGAACUGAAUGCUGUAGUAUGAAAACUUUUACAUACGCCCAUUUCUCCAUGAUGAAUUUCGCCUCUAAUGAUCGCUGCCUUUUCAAUUCGAAGACCAACUUCAGCAAAUGGAUCGAUGUGAGCUCUCCCUGGUGUUAAAAAGAUCGGAAGCCAUUUCAUCAUUUUUCCGAACGUACUGGUUUCUGGUGAAUGAAACAGACUUUCUGUCGGCUCAAUUCAUGGAGCUUGCCGGGCUUUUUCAAGAAUUUUUGAUAACAUCGUCCACAGGAGUUACAGCCUUCUAAAUCGAUUCAUUACUUCCAAAAAUGGAUAGUUUGAAUUGCUCCUGAUGAGAAAUAGAUUCAAUGAUGUUAAGGACAAGGUACGAUUUCUUAACUAAAGCUCUAUAAAGAUAGAAUUCGAAAUAUAGCCCAGGUUUUUCAACUUUGUUGGUCAACAAAAGAUGGUUUUGCUGGUAAAAGUGUCGGCAGAUUUUAAAUUUACCACAUUGUUCCAAGUUGAAUAUAAGACUUUGAUAGCCAUAAAUAAUGAAAAUGGAUAACGUCUCCAAUUGAAGAAAGUGAAGUGUCCUAUAAUCUUUCAACUAAAGCUUUUGUUGGAAAGUAAAAUACUGGUGAAAUGUUGUUGCCCCUAUAUCAAGUGCAGAUGGUGAGAACUUUUAUAAAUUAUUUUCAAAGACAUCCAUCGACUUAUUGUAUUUAACUCGCUUAAUUUCUGAAACUUAUGAACUCCUUCAUAAUGAUUCCUUUCAUUAUGAAUUUUCUUCAUUGAAGCAGUGCAUGCAUAUAUGGCAGCAUGCCACAGUUUCUAAUGUUUUUAUGAUUCUCUGUUUAUAUAUAUAUUAUUGAAAUUUUGUUAGUUUCUUUUUGAAAUUUUGAAAAUAGCAGCAAUUGCCACAAAAAAAUCUUACAGCAGCCGGAUUCGGAUUCAAUUUUGUGUACUUUAAGCAUACUUUCAGCCUUGAAAAAUUGAACUCGAUAUUGAAGCAUUUUUGUGCUACAGAUAAAAUUGUGUAUUGGUAACUUUUAUUUUUCCGUGGUGUUUUAAAAUGUCAUGAUUUUCCCCCUGCAUGUGGAUAAACAGAAAUGGCUUUUCUCAUUCGAAACGUAAUAUUACCAAAUGCAGCAAUACUUAAACAGGCUAAUUGGCU